rnacentral:rRNA from 1 species
UACAGAGGGUGCAAGCGUUGUUCGGAAUUACUGGGCGUAAAGGGCUCGUAGGCGGCCAACUAAGUCGGAUGUGAAAUCCCCAGGCUUAACCUGGGAACUGCAUCCGAUACUGGAUGGCUUGAAUCCGGGAGAGGGAUGCAGAAUUCCAGGUGUAGCGGUGAAAUGCGUAGAUAUCUGGAGGAAUACCGGUGGCGAAGGCGGCAUCCUGGACCGGCAUUGACGCUGAGUGAGCGAAAGCCAGGGGAGCAAACGGG